UGCUCCAAGGUCUGCCCUGUGCAUUGAUGAGCCUAUGGCAGGGCAAGUGAGAUGACUGUCAUGAGCUCUGCAAGGACACAGCAGUGAGGACAUGGCAAGGACCCAGCAGCAGGGACAUGGGCACAAGCAUGUGGGUGCCCCAGCUCUCACUCCCUCUAAGCAAAACCCUCUGUGCCCCAAGGUGCAGCAGCUGGCGCGACCACCCAGGAUAUCGGAAGCUCCCCAGGCAUGGCGCUGGCAGUGGCGGCCGUCGGCCUUGUCCUCCUGUCUGCAGGCAGCUGGUUUUCCAUCAAGAAAGGUGCCUGCAGAGGGAGAUGCCCAAGACUCCACCAUCGCCCACGUUCGACGGGACAGGGUGAGUCAUGGCACAGCUGUGCACAGCUCCUUUCUGC
rnacentral:lncRNA from 1 species